AAUCAGUCAGAGAGGAACUUGGUGGAAAAGCUCUCAGAGAGCUGGUAGCUUUGAAGAUGGAGAAAAACACUCAUAAACCAAGGAACAAGGGCCGUCUCUGGAAGCUGAAAAGAAAAUUCUCAAGCCUAAUGAAGAGGAGGAAAUCCCUGUUCAGAGAUUGUCACAUCUCACUCACAGAACCUGGAAAACAAACCCUCAAGCUCAUUUCUCUCAAAGUUUACCCAGAGCUUGGUUUUGCCAUCAUUGAUUCUCGUGUUUACUCUUCUCCAGAUGUUUGGGUGCAGUGGACUUGGGAGCAAGGUCUCCAUAAUUUACUUCAAUGACUGUCCACUGUUGAGCCCAUGGAGGAAGUGUUUCUAAACCUUACCCUUAGGAAAUUUUUCUUUUAUUCAUUGCAAAUAGCCUUUGCUUUCAAUAGUACAGGUACAUCCUUCAAGAUGUGUCUGUAACUUUCUAGAGUUUCUCCUUAUUCACGGUUUCUAUCCUGAGAUAUAUACCCCAGCCACCUCCUACUCAACUAUCAAAUUAUUCUCAGUCUUCCAGCUUCUGCCUGUUUCUGGGGGUAUAUCACCAUUUCAGCCCUUGGACCUUAGGCAACUUAUCAAGCUCCAAAACCUGGCUUCACCCCUGGACCAUGAUUUGGUACAUACCUCCUGAUUAAGAUGUUCUCUGCCACUCUCAGGAAAUAAUCUGUAUAGUUCAAUUGACCCAAAGGUAAACUUCAGGGCCUUGUAACCCAUGUCACCACCAGGUCAACCUACAAGCAGAGUCCAGAUCAAUUGGAGAAUCUAGCCAAGUAGAGAAGACUUUCAAGCUUUUCCAUCAAGUCCUGAACCAAGUGAGAGAAAAUCUGAAGCAGAGUUCAGAUUGAAUGAUUGAGACAGUGAGGGUCUAGUCCCCCACCUGUGUUGUUGAUAGAUACCUAAUGGAACCAGAUCUUGGUCUUGAGGAGCGACGUCAUGAACAUUCAAUCUUCCCAAAUCUUAACCAAGACCUAUGGCAGCGGUUACUACAAAAAAAUUCCCCUUCUUGGGUGUGAAAUACUGAUUACCCUUCAAACAAAUGCCCCCUAACUGAGGAAAGGAAUUCUCAAUUCUACAGUGGCCUAAUAAAUGGAAAACCAAAUAAAAGUCCUCUAAAAAUUAGGAAUAAUUGUCCAACUCAGAUGUAUCAUUCACAGCAGAUAGUACAUAGUGAAUAUCUUUUGAUGCAGAAAAUAAGUAACCAUAAACAUAAAACAUUAAUUCUGAUAUAGCUGUCUUUGCCCAUUCUCCUGUGUACUUAUGUUCUGAGUAAAUACAUUUUUGACUAAAAAAACCAUUGAAAUACUAGAUCCAUAAAAUUAAUUGGAAUAUGAUUUGUUCACUUUCUACUUACUGAUAUUUUGAGAAGCUGUGGUCAUUGAAAACCCUCCAAGCAUAAUUUUGGGGAAAUAAAACUAUCCACCAAGAGCUCAAUUGAUUCAAGCCAUAAUUAUCCCUGCACAAGGCUGCAACCAAAUAGCCUCUCUUUUUACAAAACAAAGGUUUUCAAGGGCAAAUGUUCACCUUCAAGUUGAUUUAAACUGUCCUGCUUCCUCUAGGAAAGAAGUAGAUUUCACUCUUAUCUCGCUGUUGUCCCCUUCCUGUUCCUCUAAACACCAUAAUGUGCUGACAUCACCCACCAAGGAAGACCUAGCACAUUUUUGGGAAGUCUGAGUCAUCUAAAAACUGUUUCAGGUCAAAGCAGAAGACGUCAUUUGCUGGUCAUGCUAAAAUAGAAGCAGAGAAAACAAGCAGUAUCGAGAGUCUGCUUCCAGAUCUAACUCUGUUUUUAACUGGACACAUGAUCUUGGGCAAGUCUGUUGGGUCUCUAUGAGUAUCAGUUAUCUAUCUCGGGGGAAUAACUGGUGCUCCACAAACCAUAGGGAUUGCCCUGUACCUCAAGUGAGGGAAGUGUAUGAAAAUGCUUUGAAAAGUUUAGAUCUCUCUACAUAGAGCAGAUUACCAUCUCUGAUUGAAAUCUCAUGGUAACAGAGAGACAGUUACUUACUGCCAAAGAUUUCCACAACCUGAUUCAUUCUUGCCAAAUUUCUAGAUGUAUAUCUGAAGUCGUUUCUUGAUACUUCACUGAUGGGAAGUAUCCAAAAUCAUCCUUAGAAGUAAGUUGAUUUUACUAUUUUCUUUCACAUAAUUUUUCCAUUCAAAUCAACAUUUUUAGGAACUCAGCCCAUGUAGAUAAACCCACUGCGUUUCCCUGAUAGAACUUAGAUGAGAAAGAGGGCAGAAGAAAAAGUAAGCCAAUUCCUUUUGUAUUUCCAAUAGAGACCUUGACCAGAAUCAGCCCUAACCUCCUUAGCAUCUCUCACUUAUGAGAAUAUUUUCUAUCUAGCUUCCAUCACUGCCUUGGACACAGAUCACCUCUACUGGUAGAAUAACAACAUGGUUAUCAGUAGCCUCAGCAACCUCAGAACUCUGUUUAUAUUGUCUUUGACAUCUUCCAAAUUGCCACAGUAAGGUCAACGAGAGAUGUUGGAGGCUUGACAGAUAUGCAUGUAUACAGGCCAUAGUGAAUCAAAGAAAUUAGAUGGCAGUUGAAGAAUGAUGCUAAUCUAGGCUUGCAAAAUAUGUAAGGCUUUCCCAGGCUUCUCGGGGAAAAGGAGUGAGAUGGGAAACGUACAUCGUUUGAGUGGCUGCUUGAAAGCAAGUUGCCAAAUACUCCCAUUGUCAUUGAUGGGAAGCCGUUGACAUUCUUGUUCUCAGGCCCAGAACCCUAAGGGAGUUGGAGGAAAGGGCAUAAUAGCCUUAAGCAUAAACAACAUAAUCUUUCUCUGGAGGGUUAGUCAUUUAUAGCUUCUAUGAAUACAAAGAUCUGUGCCUUGCAUAUCUAUAGCCUUGAUCAGUAAUAUUGAAAAUGCCAUAUGUGAUCCUGUACGUACAAGGAAGUAGAAAAUAGCAAAUAAAAAUCAUGACUUUGCUCAGA